AUCCAUUGGCGCCGCAGGAAGGUACCUCCCAGCAGCAAGAAAGGCCCGUUUCGGUGGCACUACUUUUUUUUUUGGAUGGGUGAACUUAUAAAGUCAUAAUAAGAUCUGAUAAGCAGAUAGGUAUAGGAGCCAGUAAUGAAGAUUACGUUCUCAUUCCUGAUAUUAUUUCUCCUUUCUGCCAUGUGUUGUGAGGGUGGCCAAACACGAAAACACAUAACUUGCAUAUUUCCAAAUGGCACUUCGCGGCCUGACGGGUCACCUUGUUUGGCGGCACGUGGCCCGGAUUACUGUAAGGCGGGGAAAUGCAUUCUAGGUUUCUGCAGCUUCACUGAAGACGUGAAGUGUGCAAUUGCCUAAGACCCAAUUAAAUAAAAAUAUAUUGCGGGAAGGACCGCAAAACUCAUUCUACAAAACCUGCCAGAUGAUAUUUACUCUUGUUUUUUCACUCAUGUUUAACAUUACUGACUUACAUUUCAGCUGUUCGCGUUUGACAACUCUGGUUGUGUUGUACGAGAUUACGUCCGCACAAGCGUUCAAAACUAAUAAUCAAAGUUCACUGGCCUAAAUUUUGUUUCUAUCAAAAAAUCAAUAAAAAAAGGUAACUCAUUGGUGAUUGAACACAU